rnacentral:rRNA from 1 species
AGAGUUUGAUCCUGGCUCAGGACGAACGCUGGCGGCAUGCCUCAUACAUGCAAGUCGCACGAGCUUCCGUUGAAUGACGUGCUUGCACUGAUUUCAACAAUGAAGCGAGUGGCGAACUGGUGAGUAACACGUGGGGAAUCUGCCCAGAAGCAGGGGAUAACACUUGGAAACAGGUGCUAAUACCGUAUAACAACAAAAUCCGCAUGGAUUUUGUUUGAAAGGUGGCUUCGGCUAUCACUUCUGGAUGAUCCCGCGGCGUAUUAGUUAGUUGGUGAGGUAAAGGCCCACCAAGACGAUGAUACGUAGCCGACCUGAGAGGGUAAUCGGCCACAUUGGGACUGAGACACGGCCCAAACUCCUACGGGAGGCAGCAGUAGGGAAUCUUCCACAAUGGACGAAAGUCUGAUGGAGCAAUGCCGCGUGAGUGAAGAAGGGUUUCGGCUCGUAAAACUCUGUUGUUAAAGAAGAACACCUUUGAGAGUAACUGUUCAAGGGUUGACGGUAUUUAACCAGAAAGCCACGGCUAACUACGUGCCAGCAGCCGCGGUAAUACGUAGGUGGCAAGCGUUGUCCGGAUUUAUUGGGCGUAAAGCGAGCGCAGGCGGUUUUUUAAGUCUGAUGUGAAAGCCUUCGGCUUAACCGGAGAAGUGCAUCGGAAACUGGGAGACUUGAGUGCAGAGAGGACAGUGGAACUCCAUGUGUAGCGGUGGAAUGCGUAGAUAUAUGGAAGAACACCAGUGGCGAAGGCGGCUGUCUAGUCUGUAACUGACGCUGAGGCUCGAAAGCAUGGGUAGCGAACAGGAUUAGAUACCCUGGUAGUCCAUGCCGUAAACGAUGAGUGCUAAGUGUUGGGGGGUUUCCGCCCUUCAGUGCUGCAGCUCACGCAUUAAGCACUCCGCCUGGGGAGUA